rnacentral:rRNA from 1 species
UACGUAGGUGGCAAGCGUUGUCCGGAUUUAUUGGGUUUAAAGGGUGCGUAGGCGGCCCUGUAAGUCAGUGCUGAAAUACCCCGGCUUAACCGGGGGGGGUGGCAUUGAUACUGCAGGGCUUGAGUACAGAUGAGGUAGGCGGAAUUGACGGUGUAGCGGUGAAAUGCAUAGAUAUCGUCAAGAACACCGAUAGCGAAGGCAGCUUACUGGGCUGUAACUGACGCUGAUGCACGAAAAGUGUGGGGAUCAAACAGG